rnacentral:rRNA from 1 species
AUUGAACGCUGGCGGAAUGCUUUACACAUGCAAGUCGAACGGCAGCACGGACUUCGGUCUGGUGGCGAGUGGCGAACGGGUGAGUAAUGUAUCGGAACGUGCCCAGUCGUGGGGGAUAACGUAGUGAAAAUUACGCUAAUACCGCAUACGAUCUAUGGAUGAAAGCGGGGGAUCGCAAGACCUCGCGCGCUUGGAGCGGCCGAUAUCAGAUUAGGUAGUUGGUGGGGUAAAGGCCCACCAAGCCAACGAUCUGUAGCUGGUCUGAGAGGACGGACAGCCACACUGGAACUGAGACACGGUCCAGACUCCUACGGGAGGAAGCAGAGGGGAAUUUUGGAGAAGGGGCGAAAGCGUGAUCCAGCCAUUCCGCGUGCAGGAUGAAGGCCCUCGGGUUGUAAACUGCUUUUGUACAGAACGAAAAGGUUUCUACUAAUACUAGGAGCUCAUGACGGUACUGUAAGAAUAAGCACCGGCUAACUACGUGCCAGCAGCCGCAGUAA